rnacentral:rRNA from 1 species
CCAGAGACUUAGCAGAGAUGCUUUGGUGCCUUCGGGAACUCUGAGACAGGUGCUGCAUGGCUGUCGUCAGCUCGUGUUGUGAAAUGUUGGGUUAAGUCCCGCAACGAGCGCAACCCUUAUCCUUUGUUGCCAGCGGCUCGGCCGGGAACUCAAAGGAGACUGCCGGUGAUAAACCGGAGGAAGGUGGGGAUGACGUCAAGUCAUCAUGGCCCUUACGGCCAGGGCUACACACGUGCUACAAUGGCGCAUACAAAGAGAAGCGACCUCGCGAGAGCAAGCGGACCUCACAAAGUGCGUCGUAGUCCGGAUUGGAGUCUGCAACUCGACUCCAUGAAGUCGGAAUCGCUAGUAAUCGUAGAUCAGAAUGCUACGGUGAAUACGUUCCCGGGCCUUGUACACACCGCCCGUCACACCAUGGGAGUGGGUUGCAAAAGAAGUAGGUAGCUUAACCUUCGGGAGGGCGCUUACCACUUUGUGAUUCAUGACUGGGGUGAAGUCGUAACAAGGUAAGCGUAGCGAG